rnacentral:rRNA from 1 species
UACGUAGGUGGCGAGCGUUAUCCGGAUUUAUUGGGCGUAAAGCGUCCGCAGACGGUUUGUUAAGUCUAGAAUCAAAGCCCGGAGCUCAACUUCGGUUCGUUCUAGAAACUGGCAGACUUGAGUAUAGUAGAGGCAAGUGGAAUUUCUAGUGUAGCGGUAGAAUGCGUAGAUAUUAGAAGGAACACCAGUGGCGAAGGCGACUUGCUGGGCUAUUACUGACGUUCAUGGACGAAAGCGUGGGGAGC